CCUACGAGUGGCAGCAGUGAGGAAUAUUGGUCAAUGGCCGCGAGGCUGAACCAGCCAAGUCGCGUGCGGGAAGACGGCUCUAUGGGUUGUAAACUUCUUUUGUACGGGAGUAAACAGAGAUACGUGUAUCUCACUGAAAGUACCCGACGAAAAAGCAUCGGCUAACUCCGUGCCAGCAGCCGCGGUAAUACGGAGGAUUCAAGCGUUAUCCGGAUUUAUUGGGUUUAAAGGGUGCGUAGGCGGUGGUGCAAGUUAGGGGUCAAAUUGCGGGGCUCAACCCCGUAUUGCCUUUGAUACUGCAUCCCUAGAGAGUACUAGAGGUAGGCGGAAUGUAUGGUGUAGCGGUGAAAUGCAUAGAGAUCAUACAGAACUCCGAUUGCGAAGGCAGCAUACCGGGGCACAACUGACGCUGAUGCACGAAAGCGUGGGGAUCGAACAGGAUUAGAUACCCGAGUAGUC
rnacentral:rRNA from 1 species